rnacentral:rRNA from 1 species
AUUGAACGCUGGCGGCAGGCCUAACACAUGCAAGUCGAACGGUAACAGGGAUCAGCUUGCUGAUUCGCUGACGAGUGGCGGACGGGUGAGUAAUGUCUGUGAAACUGCCUGAUGGAGGGGGAUAACUACUGGAAACGGUAGCUAAUACCGCAUAACGUCGCAAGACCAAAGAGGGGGACCUUCGGGCCUCUUGCCAUCGGAUGUGCCCAGAUGGGAUUAGCUAGUAGGUGGGGUAACGGCUCACCUAGGCGACGAUCCCUAGCUGGUCUGAGAGGAUGACCAGCCACACUGGAACUGAGACACGGUCCAGACUCCUACGGGAGGCAGCAGUGGGGAAUAUUGCACAAUGGGCGCAAGCCUGAUGCAGCCAUGCCGCGUGUAUGAAGAAGGCCUUCGGGUUGUAAAGUACUUUCAGCGGGGAGGAAGGGAGUAAAGUUAAUACCUUUGCUCAUUGACGUUACCCGCAGAAGAAGCACCGGCUAACUCCGUG